rnacentral:misc_RNA from 1 species
AGUUUUCAAAUGUUAUUCAAAGUGAACUGAUAUCCAUUAAGUUCAAAAUUCAAAUCAAAACACGAAACUUUUAAACCAAAGGUAAAACUUGAGGACUCUAGGUAACUAGGUUGCAAAACUUGUAUAUCACCUGGGAACUUAUGGGUUUCCCAGGACAGUAGAGCCUGGUAUGAUACAUUUUGCAAGAUAUACUAACAAUGCUGCAGCCAAAGAAGCGAUUAACACUAUUUCUUUUUGGUUCAUGAGGCUCCCAUUGGAGAAGACGACUGUCAAGCCAAAGCUCGUUGGUAGCAUUUAACACAACAU